rnacentral:misc_RNA from 1 species
GAAGGGAUAGUAGCGGAGGAUCAUCGCGCGCCCACCUCCCCCCGUGUUUCUGUCCCUUUGUUGCUUCGGCGGGCCCGCCCUUUAUGGCCGCCGGGGGCUCUCGGCCCCGGGCCCGCGCCCGCCGGAGACACCACGAACUCUGUCUGAUCUAGUGAAGUCUGAGUUGAUUGUAUCGCAAUCAGUUAAAACUUUCAACAAUGGAUCUCUUGGUUCCGGCAUCGAUGAAGAACGCAGCGAAAUGCGAUAACUAGUGUGAAUUGCAGAAUUCCGUGAAUCAUCGAGUCUUUGAACGCACAUUGCGCCCCCUGGUAUUCCGGGGGGCAUGCCUGUCCGAGCGUCAUUGCUGCCCAUCAAGCACGGCUUGUGUGUUGGGUCGUCGUCCCCUCUCCGGGGGGGACGGGCCCCAAAGGCAGCGGCGGCACCGCGUCCGAUCCUCGAGCGUAUGGGGCUUUGUCACCCGCUCUGUAGGCCCGGCCGGCGCUUGCCGAACGCAAAUCAAUCUUUUCCAGGUUGACCUCGGAUCAGGUAGGGAUACCCGCUGAACUUAAGCAUAUCAAUAAGGCGGAGGAAUUUUAAAAGAAAAUUUA